rnacentral:rRNA from 1 species
UACGUAGGGGGCAAGCGUUGUCCGGAUUUAUUGGGCGUAAAGAGCGUGUAGGCGGCCAUACAGGUCAGCUGUGAAAACUCGAGGCUCAACCUCGAGACGUCGGUUGAAACCGUAUGGCUAGAGUCCGGAAGAGGAGAGUGGAAUUCCCGGUGUAGCGGUGAAAUGCGCAGAUAUCGGGAAGAACACCUAUGGCGAAGGCAGCUCUCUGGGACGGUACUGACACUCAACUACGAAAGCGUGGGGAGCAAACAGG